rnacentral:rRNA from 1 species
GACGAACGCUGGCGGCGUGCCUAAUACAUGCAAGUCGAGCGGAGUUGAUGAGGUGCUUGCACCUCUGAUGCUUAGCGGCGGACGGGUGAGUAACACGUAGGCAACCUGCCUGCAAGGCCGGGAUAACAUUCGGAAACGGAUGCUAAUACCGGAUACGCGGUUUUGUCGCAUGACGAAGCCGGGAAAGACGGCGCAAGCUGUUACUUGCAGAUGGGCCUACGGCGCAUUAGCUGGUUGGCGGGGUAACGGCCCACCAAGGCGACGAUGCGUAGCCGACCUGGGAGGGUGAUCGGCCACACUGGGACUGAGACAUGGCCCAGACUCCUACGGGAGGCAGCAGUAGGGAAUCUUCCGCAAUGGACGAAAGUCUGACGGAGCAACGCCGCGUGAGUGAGGAAGGCCUUCGGGUCGUAAAGCUCUGUUGCCAGGGAAGAACGUCGCGGGGAGUAACUGCCCUGCGAAUGACGGUACCUGAGAAGAAAGCCCCGGCUAACUACGUGCCAGCCGCCGCCGUAACAC